AAGUCCCAGUUCGGAUUGAAGGCUGAAAUUCGCCUUCAUGAAGCCGGAAUUGCUAGUAAUGGCAGGUCAGCAUACUGCCGUGAAUACGUUCCCGGGCCUUGUACACACCGCCCGUCACACCAUGAGAGUUGGGAAUACCCGAAGCCUGUGAGCUAACUUUUAGAGGCAGCAGUCGAAGGUAGAAUCAAUGAUUGGGGUGAAGUCGUAACAAGGUACC
rnacentral:rRNA from 1 species